rnacentral:rRNA from 1 species
AGUGAACGCUGGCGGUAGGCCUAACACAUGCAAGUCGAACGGCAGCACAGUAAGAGCUUGCUCUUACGGGUGGCGAGUGGCGGACGGGUGAGGAAUACAUCGGAAUCUACUUUUUCGUGGGGGAUAACGUAGGGAAACUUACGCUAAUACCGCAUACGACCUACGGGUGAAAGCAGGGGAUCUUCGGACCUUGCGCGAUUGAAUGAGCCGAUGUCGGAUUAGCUAGUUGGCGGGGUAAAGGCCCACCAAGGCGACGAUCCGUAGCUGGUCUGAGAGGAUGAUCAGCCACACUGGAACUGAGACACGGUCCAGACUCCUACGGGAGGCAGCAGUGGGGAAUAUUGGACAAUGGGCGAAAGCCUGAUGCAGCCAUACCGCGUGAGUGAAGAAGGUCUUCGGGUUGUAAAGCCCUUUUGUUGGGAAAGAAAAGAAGCAGGUUAAUACCCCGCUGUUCUGACGGUACCCAAAGAAUAAGCACCGGCUAACUUCGUG